UACGUAGGGGGCAAGCGUUGUCCGGAUUUAUUGGGCGUAAAGAGCGUGUAGGCGGCCAGGUAGGUCCGCUGUGAAAACUCGAGGCUUAACCUCGAGAUGUCGGUGGAAACCAUCUGGCUAGAGUCCGGAAGAGGAGAGUGGAAUUCCUGGUGUAGCGGUGAAAUGCGCAGAUAUCAGGAAGAACACCCGUGGCGAAGGCGGCUCUCUGGGACGGUACUGACGCUGAGACGCGAAAGCGUGGGGAGCGAACGGG
rnacentral:rRNA from 1 species